CAGUAGCCACGGUAAUACAGAGGGUGCGAGCGUUAAUCGGAUUUACUGGGCGUAAAGCGUGCGUAGGCGGCUAAUUGAGUCGGAUGUGAAAUCCCCGAGCUUAACUUGGGAAUUGCAUUCGAUACUGGUUAGCUAGAGUGUGGGAGAGGAUGGUAGAAUUCCAGGUGUAGCGGUGAAAUGCGUAGAGAUCUGGAGGAAUACCGAUGGCGAAGGCAGCCAUCUGGCCUAACACUGACGCUGAGGUACGAAAGCAUGGGGAGCAAACAGGAUUAGAUACCCGAGUAGUCCCUGUCUCUUAUAA
rnacentral:rRNA from 1 species